UAUUUUAAAGCAGGGCUCAGAUACAACCAAUUCCUGACAUGAAAGCUGGGGCCCCACGUGACACAGGGACUGGCUGGGUCUUUGGGGAUGGCCACCGACACUGUUUAAGACCUCCUAUGUGCUGCACACUGUGCUUGUCACCUUCCCUUGUUGAGUCUUUGCCUCUUUGCCCAAUUUAUGGGUGAAACCACAGGCAUUUGGCAAGGCCGUGGCUGACAUGCCCGUUGGACUGCUGGAGGUGGUGGGCCGAGAUUCAGAGCCAGGGCUGGCUGAAGCCUGGGCUGCUUUCCCGCAGCACAUUGGUGGUCAGUGCAGUGUAGUCAUGAACCAGAAGGAUUUAUUGAGUCUGUAUCCUGUGCUAAGUUCUGUGGAAUCCUUGGGGAAUGAGAUGGGCUGUCUGCACCCUCACUGAGCUGACAGGGUUGGGGAGGCGGGGUCUACAUCCGUACCAGGGCACUGGGCAUCCCAGAAGGCCCCGGGGCUGCUGCUAAGAGCCAGCCCUCCUUGUUGGUCAUUGGGUCAGGGGCUGGCCUCAGGAAGGGGAGAAAAGGUGGCCACUUGUCCCCAAAUACGUUGCAGUGCCUGAAACGACACCAUUAUCACCUCAUUCCUUUGGCUUAAGGACUUAUUCCCGGCCAGUGUGGUUCUUGGAAGGAGAGAAGGCAGAAAUGGAUAGGAGGAGGGAAGGAGCCUGGGGUGGGGUUUUUCACCUGGUGGGAAAUGGCCAGAGCUGUGAGGCCGUGGGGAGGUGGGAGGCCUGUGAGCCUGUCCUCCCAGCCCUGCCCAUGUGAGCUGACGUGGGACAGGAACAGGGGGCUGGGGUCAUGCGGUGAGGAACCCAGGGCACAGGCUUGGCACAGCCUGGCUUCAUUGCCCAAGGACCUCCCAAGACCUGUGGAGUUUGGGAGUGGGCCUGUGUUCUCAUCCUGGGGCUUAGUGCUGAAGAUCCUAAGCUCCUGGGACAAUCCGCCAGCCUGCCCUGAAGAGGGAGCCAGGUUAGUGUGCUGCUCAGGGUCCCCUGGCUUGGGAGGGUGGAGUAAGGGCCCAUGUGCAGCCCUGCCCGUGACCUGACCCUGUUCCUGGGCCUCCUGCACUUAGGAACCCGGGACCUGGCAGCUGGCUUAGCUUUCCCCACCUCAAGGACCCUGUACUCACUGUGGCGGAAAGGACUCCUCCAAAAGCAGGUUGAGUUGGAAAGCAGGGCUGGCAUUCUAACGGGCCAAAGGAACAAGGUGAGGAAGGCAUGCAUGAGGUCUGAAUGCCUCCCAUGGCCCUGAGGUGGGGCUUUCUUACCCCCAAACGCACCCUUCCCGCUCUGCUUAAAAAAAAAUGACAGCACAUCAGAACUGCUUCUGAGGGUGGGGCUGGGGCAGAGGGGUUUGGCGUGGUGAGUGGUGAAAAUGUGCACAAGCAGGUUUUCAUGCACGCGUAGGUUCUGGCUACUGCGCAGCGCGUCUGUGCCUCUGGGUGUUCUGCGAGGCAGGCCCAUCACACUCUGGGCGAUGACACGUGCGUACCAGGCUGCCCACGUGCCUGGCGCUGCACCAGGGCUCUGGGAGCCCCAGCUGUGGGGCCAUGAGGUGACAGGUGAUGAAACGGAGUGGGGAGGGCACCAGCACACAAGGCCUCAACUGAGCGGGGUCUUGACACAGGCUAGACAGGUGGCAGUGGGGAGGGGCAUACCAGGCAGAAAGGACAGCCUGGUCAGACGCAUGAAGGCCCCUGUCCUGCCCGCGCCGUGGUGAGUCACCGCAAUGCACGUUGGGCUGGAUGUUUGUUGGGUUGGGAGGCUGGCAAGGGGUCCCCGUAGUGAGGAUCCCUGUGUGACUAAGGAAGCGGACUUCGGGGAGCUGCGGAAAGGGUGACGGGGCCAGAUUUCAUUUUGGAAACAUCCCUUUGGUUGCCAUUGGAGAGAUCAGUGUGGGAGAGGUGGGAGGCUGGGGCCCAGGGGGAUAUGGGUGUGCGAGCCAAGGAGGGGCCUGUCGGGGAGAUGGAAAGGGAGCUGGGGGUUGGGCAUUCAUGCACAUACAUGCACACACACAUGCACGCACGGGUGCACACAGGGCCUGCAGUGGCUUCAGGAAGGAGGAAGAGUUUUAGGAGGCUGAGGUUUCCAGUUUGAGCAAAAGGAGGUGAGGCCACUACCUGGGACAAGGAGAGGCAGGUGAAGGGCCACAUGCCAGGAUAUUUGGCUGAAACCCUUAGAGACUUUCUCUGUCACAUGCAAAUUCCCUUGAGUUCAUUCUCUGUUUGGCUGCUGUGUGCCAAUCAGUACCCCUUCCUGGCUGUACCUGGUGUGCCAGGAUGGCAGGCUGGGCUGGGCCCCAAGUGGGAAGGCCUAGCCAGUCCUUCCACCCAACUCAUCGUGACCAAGAUAAAUGUUUGCAAGGUGGUGCUGGAAUCCAGUCUGGCCUGUGUCCAGCCUUGGGGCUGUGCAUGGCUGGGGGCCCCAUCGUAACUUCCUGGUUAAGCUUGCUGCCCUGGCCGUGGCCCCGAUACCAGACUGCACAGCCUCGGCCAGUGGGUUCACCUGGACUGGCUGCAGCUUAAAUCUGAGUUUGACCUGGAGAACGAACCCCGGCCCCAUCCCCUUGCUGUGGCCCCUCCCUGGCUGGGCCUGACCAGCAGUGGUUUAGGGUCUCAAGACAUGGCCACCAGCUUAGUUUACAGAUCUCCCUUCAGAUUCCAGAUUUCUGACCAGACUUUCUGGGUCCCCUUCAGGCCCUGCUCUGGCAGGUGAUGGAUUUCAUUAUUUGUACAUUUGUUUUGUUUUGAAUUUGGAAUAAAGUAUUGGAGGUCAGAGCUUUGCUAGGGAAGGGUCCAUGGUCCUGGCUGGUCUUGUUUUUUUCUGACAGAUUUUGUCCUUCAGAACAUCCGCCCUAGAUUCUGAGCUUCCGUGUCCAGGCAGCAGCCCCCCUCUUUCUUCUCCAGGGACUCCUCCCUUCUGUCCACUGUUCUUUCCUUUCUGGCAGCCUUCCGGGCCCCCAACAGCUGAAGCCCGGCUUCUGGGAGCUUAUCACCUCUGGGCGUGGCCAGGUCACAGAGCAGGCAUUUUUUGUCAAGCCCCAAGGUAUCCCUGCUGAUACCUUCACAGGGAAUCACUAGUCCACCCUAAGGGAGAAGGCGUUGCUCCCAGAGUAUAGGCUACUACCCGCCUGAGGUCACGAUGUGUGUACGGGGUGGGGCUGGAAAAGCAGAGAAUGGGCCUGUCCCACUGUGACAUCACCUCCUGUGUCAGCUGGAUUGGGUCUCUGUCCCCAGAAGUGCUGGAUUCUUAUUUGACAGGUGCACGGGGCCUUCCCAGUGCAGAUCCUGGCACUUUGGGCAUUGUGGGGAGGGUGGGCACUAGUGGUCUAAAAUUUGGGUUUGAAUCCCGGAUCUCACCUGUAGCCAUGUUUGGCAAGUUGCUGACCUCACUGAUCCUCGACUUCCUCACGAUGAUAUGAUAAUUGUGCCUCCUUCUUUGGCUUGCUCUGAGGAUUACAUGGAAUAACCCACGUAAAGCGCUUGGCACCAAGCUGGCAUUCACCACGUGUGCCAGUGUUCCUUUGGCCUACCUCCAUGGCCACAGGCAGGGGCUAGCUCUUGCCUGGCCAACUUGGCUCUGAUCAAGGUCCACAUCCCAUCUUGGCCAUUCCUCAUUUAGAGCCUCCUUCAAGGUCCUUUACCCUGUGCUUCAUACCUUGCUUAGGUCACAUGUACUCUGGCCUUGGCUUUCUGAAAUUGUGGUUCCUGGAGCCAUGCUGAGGAGGCUAGUCGGGCUGGGCUCCCAGAAGCUCAUGCUAGGAUGAGGAUUCUGGAUUGACUAAGGAAAAGGGAGUGGGGAGUGCAAGUCAACAAGGGUGUGAUUUCAGGUAGAGUCCUGGCCUUGGCCAGGUCCUGUAGGGGAGACCUGGGGCAUGCCUGCCAUGGGGGCCAGGGGUCUGUGCAUGUGUGUGGGUAGUUCCAGGCAUACUGGCUGUGGCAGGCAGGCCAUGAGGCUCCAGGAGCCCUGGGGAAGGUCUCUGCAUGGCGUUGUAGGCCCCUUAUCCCAGGGGAGGUGUGCACAGAAACCAAGGGCAUCUGUGGGGUCUGGGGGGCACACUCAUCAAUGGUUGCACUUGUGCCCUGAGCAGUCCUCUCACCCAGUAGACGUGUAUGGAGUCCACAGCCUGCAGGGUGCCCAGAACUUCUCUCCGUGAGCAGCUCGUAAACAGUUGUCUCCUGUGUGUCCAUGCUGAGUGACCUUGGUCACUCAACUGCAGAGCUUUGCGUUUGCCGAUGCUAAAUUCCUUCUUGGUUGUCGUUCUGGCCUGGCCUAGUUUGGUCAUCUGAAGCUAUGACUAGUCCUUUAUCAGUUUCCAACCAACUUGUCAGGCAGAGCAGGGCCACACAGAGCCCACGGCCUGUCACUGAGUCAUCUUAUAGGUCAGCACUGGUCCCCAGGUCCCUGUGAAUCAACAGUCAUCAUAGGCAAGUCCGUUUAAGGUGAAUUUGUGCAAAUCUGGGUCUUCAACAUCAGUAGCACUCUUCUGACCCAAGUCCCGGCCCAGGGACCCUCCCAUCCAAACAAGGAAGGGGGGUAGGGGCUUGACUGGAGGCCUCGCUGUCCACAUAGCCGGUUCUGGUUCUGGUGAUCGCUGCUUCCCUUUCUAACAUCUUACUUCUGUUUAACAAGCUGUUCUAGAAGUUUGAGAUCUGCAGCAAGCUAAGAGUCACAGACUCUCCCUUGUAACCUUUUUGGAGAUUGGAAGCCACCCCACUGUGUGCUGGCACACCUCGUUUUCAUACCCCCACCCCCACCCCGCCCCGGGCACAUCAGGGCUCACCUCGAGGUUCCUGGGGGGUGGCUGUGAGGAGCAUGACACUCAUCACAGCUGGCCUCUAUCUAGCACCUUUUUCAAUGGGCCUUUCUGUGGGGCUGCUCACCCUUUUUUGAUAAGAGUCUUUCUGAAGCUGGGUGGAGAUCUCUCUAAUGGAUAGACAUGGAGCUAGUUCUGUUGCUGUGGUUACGUAAAGAUAAUAAGCCAUGAAAAAUAUCUCAGGAAAGUCGAUGUUGGUUAAAGAAAACCAAACCAAAUCAGAGUUGCAUUGGCCUUUAGGACUGGAGGUGGACAGGUAGGGUCUGACUCUCUUACUCCAAGAGUUGGGUAAACAUUGCCUUUGCUCCCUUCUGUGGUGACCCUCCAUGACUCAUUCGUCAUUUCUCCCCCUCCAAGCGUGGGGUAGCUCGGCAAGGAGGCAGAUCUGUACCCUGAAACAUGUGCUCCCAAAUGGGUGUCCUAGAAUUCAUGUUUUAUGGCCCCACUUUAUAGGACGGAAUGUGGGAAUUGAGCGAACAUGGCAGUCCACAUCUGAGGGGCUCAGGGCUGGUGACUGUGUCCCAUUUUAAGGUAUGUGGCUCUUAGCCAUGUACGCUUCACCCAAUCUGUCCUGGCCUGGAGCUUUCCAUUUCUGAAACACUCCUGAGAAGAGACACCGGGCACCCAAGAAUGUGGUCAUGGGAGUGCAGUGCCUCCCCAGAUGUCCAGACAGGGCCCAGUGGGAAGGCUCUGCUCUUGGUGUUUUUCUCCCCAACCCCUGUUUCUCUUUAAUCUCAGUCUUUCCCUUCUCCUCUUCAGUAUCUAGUCCUCUGUGCCCUCCAGAAGCCUUGUGUCUCUGCACUGUCCCGCAGUCCUUCCCCCUGCUGCCAAGGGUCUGCCUUGCCCUAAUCCUCCUGCUGCAAGCAGCUGCUUGCUCUUCUCGUGGCCACUUCUCCCCCAGCCAUGGCUGGGUCUGGGUUUCAGCAUUCUUGCUUUUCACAAGUCUGGGCUCUUCCUAUCCACCUGUCUGUUCUCUGUCUCGGUAAAAACCAAAACAUCUGAGCGUGCCAAAGAGCUUCUGAGCAUCUCCCUAGAGAAGGAGGCUUCCUUGGGCUAACCUGGGAUCACAUUGUCAAGUUUCCAUCCUUUUUGCCUCCAAAAGGGAAAUCAGUUGUCCUGCUGGGUAAGUGGAGGAACUUUGGUAUCCCAUCAAUCUUCAGUUUUGGUGGCCCUUAUUGGCGCCUGGCUGGUUAGGUCACCUGAGGGGCAUACCGGAUGUGUGGUCUCCAUCUGCUAGUUUUAGGCAGGCCAUCUCCUCUUUCGUGCUUUCAGACUCCUCUUGCUUGGCUUGUAAUUAGAUUGGGAGAUUGGGGCAUGUCCUGGGCCUCAUUGGGGACACACCGUGCUGUCCCAUCUCUGUGCCUCUCUCCUGUGUGGGACUGGUUUGUGUCUAGGAGCCAGGGCUGGGGACAGGGGGACGAGACUUCUGACUUCUGUCUUUGACACCAAGUAGGCACCUGAGAAAAUGCCCACUGAGAAAGCCUGAGCAAGCCCAAGUAGGUAGCCUCUGUUGGGUCUGGUAUUUUCUGUGACUCAUCAUGGAACUAAAUUUGGGGUGCUGGAGCCCUGCCGGGGAGGACUGGAGUUCCUCACCCAUGUCCACUUGGCCCCUUACCUGUAACCUUCUGCUUUGCCCUCCCUCUGUCCACUUCUCAUUGUUAGCAGUCAAGGUCCGGGGAGGUGUUGGCCAAGGGUGCCAUUUUGUAUUCAGGCUUUGUGGCUUUUGUAAGCCCAGCCUGUGUCCCUUGAGGAAGACUAUGCGGUCUGAUUUUCUUUCCCUUCAGAGUUGAGGCAGUUCAGGGAGAGGGGAAGGGGUUUCCUGAGAAGUUUCCAACCCCUAAACUCCCUUCUGCCCUGGUGCAACUCAGGAUGUGGUUCAGACUCCCACCAGGUCACACCCCUGGGCUGGGGAGGGAGUGGGCAGGAACCAGCAGGGCUCUGGGCCCAGGAGAGCUUGGACACACAACUGGGCACUACUGGAGGCACCAGGAACAUUGCCUGAGUCUUGCUGAAGGUGCAAAGUGGGAUCCUGCCUUUAUUUGGCUUUUUGAUAUUUUGUCAUUUAUUUUUUUGCAUUUAUUCUGAUUUUAAAGUAUUCACUAAAACAUUAUUUAUCUUGAUUACCGAGCCUUUUGCCAUCCCCUUACAUUUUGUGCCUUGUCCCUGCCUGGCACCCUCCUCUCCUAGAGCUUUAGGUCCCCUGGGCACCCCCCCCCCCCCCCCCCCCAGGACUCUAGUGCGGAGAAGGAAAGCCAGAGGUGCCGCGGGAGGAGCUCGGUCGCCCCCUAGUGGCCUCAGAGCCGCUCCUUCAGAGACACCUGGGGGCGCAGGCUGGGAAACAAUGACUUUGUCCCCUCCCCAGCAGCCUCAAGCUACCUCCAGCCAUCUCACCCCGUGCCUGCGCUCCGCUCCCGGCUCUUCUCCUCCUCCAGAUGCUCCAGGACGGGGGCUGAAGAUUUCCGACGGGAGGAUAGCGAUGAAGAAGGUGGAGGGAGGGGAGUCCAGGCGGAGGCUGGAAAAACCCUAGGUUUGGAGAAUUGGAACAUAUCACCCGAGAUCCCCGAACUCCUGGGGGCAGAACCAGGACUCCGCACUACGGCUGUUUUCCUGGGCUCUUCUGGCCUCUGCCCUUCUGCUUGUCCAGACAGAGGUUGGGCUGCCAAUGACCUUUGCUCCUCAGAAACAAACAGUUUACCGAGUAAGUGAAGAAUGUAUACAGUA